AUUAACGCGAAGAACCUUACCUAGGCUUGACAUGCAGCUGGUAGGGACCCGAAAGGGUACCGACCCGCAAGGGAGGCUGCACAGGUGCUGCAUGGCUGUCGUCAGCUCGUGCCGUGAGAUGUUGGGUUAAGUCCCGCAACGAGCGCAACCCUCGCUGCCAGUUACCAUGUCUGGCGGGACCGCCGGGUCCAACCCGGAGGAAGGUGGGGAUGACGUCAAGUCAUCAUGGUCCUUACGUCCAGGGCUACACACACGCUACAGUGGCCGGUACAACGCGCAGCGAUGGGGCGACCCGGAGCGAAUCGCAUCAAAGCCGGUCUCAGUUGGGAUUGCAGGCUGCAACUCGCCUGCAUGAACGCGGAGUUGCUAGUAACCGCAGGUCAGCACACUGCGGUGAAUACGUUCCCGGGCCUUGUACACACCGAAU
rnacentral:rRNA from 1 species